GGGAAGAAGGCUAAGUUUCAGCCUCGGCGUUGCAGAGCCCAAGUUUGGGUCUCAGGAAGUGACCAAGAUUCCUUGCCAGAGCAAUGAGUUUGUUCUCGAGCUCCUUCAUGGUGUCAGGUUGCACUUUGAUAGGUUCAUUAAAGACUUAAAGCCAUCAGACUUGGAGAAGGCUCAGCUGGGUUUGAGUACAAUCAUUGUUCAGGAUCUCGGUCAUUUGUUACAACAAUGACUAUACCGCUGGAGUUUAAUAGUUCUGAAAAUCUUGAAUUUUCAGAAUUCUAUAAGAAAACUCAUACCAAGAAGAACAAAGAAUGAAUUGAUCCUAUUUGCGCCGUGAAACAUUCAAAGAUGUUGAGCUUGCGAGAAGAAUCUUUCCAAUCCGGUGUGCAA